CAGUAGCCGCGGGAAUACGAAGGGUGCAAGCGUCAAUCGGAAUUACUGGGCGUAAAGCGUGCGUAGGCGGUGAGUUAAGUCUGCUGUGAAAUCCCCGGGCUCAACCUGGGAAUGGCAAUGGAAACUGGACGGCUAGAGUGUGUCAGAGGAUGGUGGAAUUCCCGGUGUAGCGGUGAAAUGCGUAGAGAUCGGGAGGAACAUCAGUGGCGAAGGCGGCCAUCUGGGACAACACUGACGCUGAAGCACGAAAGCGUGGGGAGCAAACAGGAUUAGAUACCCGCGUAGUCCCUGUCUCUUAUAU
rnacentral:rRNA from 1 species